rnacentral:rRNA from 1 species
GACAGAGGGUGCAAACGUUGUUCGGAAUUACUGGGCGUAAAGCGAGUGUAGGCGGUUUUGUAAGUCGGGUGUGAAAGCCCUGGGCUCAACCCAGGAAGUGCACUCGAAACUGCAAGGCUAGAGUAUCGGAGAGGUUGGUGGAAUUCUCGGUGUAGAGGUGAAAUUCGUAGAUAUCGAGAGGAACACCGGUGGCGAAGGCGGCCAACUGGACGAAUACUGACGCUGAGACUCGAAAGCGUGGGGAGCGAACAGG